UCUCCCUCUCUCAUUCACUCAUCUGAUUUUUGAAGACCUCUCAAAGUGUUCCCUCAAUAUUCAACCUCAAGAACACCAAGGAAAACUUGGAGGCUAAGUCUUGGUCUAGGAAGUAUUUUCCCUAAGUUGGUUAGGGUUUUUGAAAGGUUUUGGAGGAGCCAAAGCUAAUAGGAAGGUCCAAACCUUAAGCAAGAACACCAAAGAGUAUUGGCUAAGCGUAACUGGACUGAACGUUGGAGGGUGAAAACCUGCUGAGCGCUAAGUACUCC